rnacentral:lncRNA from 1 species
AUACUACCAUUUCAACGUGGAGUAGCACCUCUUGCCUAUCUUAUCAAAAGAAGGCGAAUCUACUCGCUCCAAGUCGAGGCGCAAAGUCACUACACAAUUAUUUAUGCUCAGUAUUGCUUGUCUUUUUAUCGCUGAACACAUUACUAUUGUCUGACAUACUCAAAGAGGGUGCGUAACAGUAAUGGCACCUGACUCAAUAGUUUAGUUAUGAGUCAUGGAAUUAAAAUCAUUAUGUGUUUUGCGUUUACUGUUUUCCAAAACUCCCCCGCUAUUCCAUUUUAUCAGAGAAAACGCAACAGUACUUCAUUGUUUCGAAUAUCCUUAGUUCCCUACUUUCCUCUAUGAAGAGAGGAAAAAUCCCAGAGAAUCUUGAAAAAAAAUAAAACAGAAAAUUUUCUACGUCACAAUAAUUCAGAGGAUAGAAACUACGAAGUCUACGAUCCAUUCAGCACAGAUCUGCUGUGGCGAGUAAGAGCAGGCGACCGAGGUGACAGCCAAUACGCGAAAAAUCUGGCGACUCACAUUUUCACGAAUGAAGUUCUGGCACAAUCGUCUAUCACAGGACAGCCAUAUCGUAACAAGAAAGGAGCCGUUGCUAAACCUGCAUUGGAUGGACAUAAACUGGAAUACUUGAGACAAAUUUUCAUCCUCCGCCUUAAAGAAGAGUUCAAGGGGAAAAAUGACGUCAAGGUCCAGGCAGCCAUAGAGAAACGUGCAAAUCGGAAAGUAUUGGAGAACUACAUUCGGGAGAAGAUCUGCACCCUUGGUCGUUAUUUUCAUACUGCUUAGGUCUGCCCCCCCCCCCUCCCAAUCAGAAGAUUCUAGUCUUCUUCUCCCACUAGAUUUUUGUUUGUUUGUACCAAUUAAGCUUCUGUAGAUACCUCCACAGUUAUGCUCAUCGUUUUAUUACGCCUCGGAACGCAUGGGCUAACACAUUUUUGUCUAGAAGAGGUAAUAAGAAAAAUAGGAGGAAAAAAUUUUGACAAGUCAAACUUUUUGAAACGAUAUGAGAUUUUUAAUUUUCAUAGAUAAGCUAAUGCUUAAGCUCACCAUGCGCUAUUUUGCACGGGCAAUGAUAGUGGUGUUUUAAUCAAAAUAGUACCCAGGUGUACAAAUAGACCAACAAAGCACCAAAAUUAAGUCAAUACAAAAAUUUGAGUUUUUUUUGGCUCCUUUUUUCCUUGACGUCAUCGUAAUUUUUAUUUUUUUAUUUUAAGGUAAAAUAAAAAGAUUCUUCAAUUUUCAAAUUGACGUAUUAAUGCCAAAAGGAACUAUGUGCAUUGUGCAUAAGGUUUGCGUGAGACAUAGUUUAAACUAUAGAAGAAAACCAAGAAAAACCCUAUUCGCGGGGUAAGGUAAGCCUACAUUCGGCAAUUAGGGUGCCAUUUCUUUUUGAAAAAGAGGAUGCUUCAGAACAAAAAUCAAGUUCCUCGCUCAUUUUAUGUGCACUAUUUGCUAAAAAUUAAAUAAAAUACACAGCUUUUUCAUCUAUGGACCUCCAAAAAAUUCCAUGCCAAGUAGCACUCCUUAAUUACAUGGUACAGUGAAGAGAAAAAUUCCAGGUAAUGAUCUUGCUUCUGAUUUUCAAAAACCUUGCACCAUCUUUAACUUCAAACAUUUACAAAGGAAUUUAUCAUAGCGUACUGAGGUUACACACAAUUGUUAGUAAAAAAUGUUGAACUUUUGAAAGAUAAUGGAAUAUUUCAAGUUGGAUUGAGACUUUUUUUCACCAACUUCAAAUGAAAGCACAUAAUUUUUAGUUAAGAACUCGGGCGAUUUCGUCGCGUCUCUCUUAUUUUUUCUUUUUUACAACGCUCUCAGUGAGUGCAUUUUUUGGGAUCGUGCUUUCAUUCGGUAGUUUUGAUUGGUAACUGAUUCGCAUUAUAUUCAUCAAUUAAGAUGUUCCUAAUUGAAUGCCUAUUUUUACAUAUUUAAAGUGCCCAACGAGCGGUAGUCGAAUUCAAAAUUGACGAACAAUGAUUCGAACAUGUUUACUAAAGUGUCUAAAUUCGUAUUUUCGUGAACCAUAUUUUUUUUUUCUUUAUUCAAAAUAUAGAGAACUACAAAUUAUUAACUCUAUUUGCUAUAACUACAAAUUACAGACUAUUUACAAUCUUUAAGUGGGUAGGCUGGACUGCCAUAUCGGCCACCGGCCCUAUAACUAAAUUACAAGAUGUACAGAGACUAUACGCAAUACCAAAUAACACAGACUAACUACGAACAAACAAUACACACAACACUAACUAAUAAUAAAUAUUAGACUAAUAACAAAUAAAAAGAGAUUUGGCACCAACUCGUUUUUACAAAUUUCCUCCGAUGUUCGAGCGGAAUGCGGGUGUCGGUGCGGAAAGCGGCUGUAAAUAAGUCGUUUAUGAAGCAUAUAGUAACCCUGGUAAAAAAGACGACUACGCUGCGACUAUGCUGCGCAUACACCGCAUAGUCGUGUGCAUAUGUAUGAAGUCGCAGUGUAGUCACAUGGUUGUCAAGGGUAGUCAUCAGAAGGCACAGUGUAUUCGCAAGGUAGUUGCGAGGUGGUCACCGGUUAGUAGUCACCAUGAAUGUGUAGUUGCAGAGCAAUAGUGGGUAUCCGCAAGCAUAGGUGCAUACGUUUAUGUACCUACCUUUACCCGCUAGGCAUGUGACUACACAACUCUGGGACACUUAGUUGUGCAACUACAUAUUAACAUCACCUUUACAUUAUGCCUCAGACUAUGAUUUAAUUACAGCAUACCGACGGUGAAACUGCGACACCAGCCGGAUAGCAUCCAAUGUUCUGAGAAUAUUCUGACAAUGUUCCUACAUUUUGAGCAGCAUUUUCAUAAUCAGAGAAUAUUCUGAGAAUAUUCUGUAUCAGCAGCUAAACUCAGAAUAUUCUCAGAAUGUUCAUCAUCUUCCACUACGCGUGUGUAGGAGAAUCCUCCAGCUACAUUUGCAUCAUGCAAGGUAACAACGGAUGACAUAUGGUAUGCGAACAUGCUCAAUUAAAUAGAAAAUGAACAAAAAUCACUCACCAACUUGCUCGAAUCAGUAAUCCACUGGGUCAGGAAAAUCCACUUGACAACAAUUAAUCCAAAUUUCCAAUUAAAACUGGUAUAAGUACAGAGAAACGCUUGAAAACUCUAUGGGUGCAUUGUAAAAAAUCUUAAGCACUCUUUAACGUAAGUGAAAAUUAGCACCAUGAUUUAAUAGCUGAUCAAUACAGAACAGCACUCUCAGAAAAGCACUGACACAACACCAUUUUUCAGUUUAUUUUUACUUCUAGGAGAAAAAUGCAUUUUUCAAAAGAUCCGACAUCAUCGGCCAUCGCUCGACAGCAAUGAUGGAAUGAGGUAAAAAUAAAGCUUAAAUAAUUUCACAAUUUACUCCGAUAAUUGAUGAUAUUAAGGUAGCCAUUGAUUCUCUACCCGACGUCCUUUUCACACAUGACAAGGAAGGUCAAGAGCACAGAGCAAAUGGCGCGAUGUACAUGUGAUAUCGCAAGUUCCGGAUAGGAGUCGAUCUGCAAAAAUACAAAGCGAGAAACAGAUCAUCAUAUUGAUCCACCCACAAUUAAUGACUGUCAAUAGAGACAGACAUUAAAAUACGUUAUAAUAAAUAAGCCACCAUUUGUUAACAGAACAAAGUUUUCGUGAGAGUAAGACCUUUCCGUCUGGAGGGACGAGGACCUUCCUUGGACCUUUCCUUCCAAGAAACACUUAAUAAUGGACCACUUUACUACUUACAGGUCUGAGCUGCUGAAUGAAUUACAUUACACCAGUCAAUAAAAUUUUAAACUCUUGCCCUCACCGUCGAAUGUUGACGGAUGACCUGAUCUAUCGCUGAAUAUACAUAGGAUGGGAAGUUGGCACAUCUGAAGAGCAGAGCGGUUCAUUCUUGUUUCAGCUCUGGUAGUAUUUUAAAUGUAACAACUGUCUGUUGCCUUAAAAGGGAUGAAAUAAGUGCAACACCUGCGCACCACUGCAAAUGUGCGAUUUGUCAAAAAUCUAGGGAUGAGGUGUUUCAAGUUAUCGCUAAUAAAUUAGCCAGCCAAUUCAAGAGAAUGACAGAGGUUACGCAGUGAGGAUCCCUUUCUAUAAGUCAGUAUAUUGAACGGACAGGUGAAAGAGCUGUUGUCUCAAAAGUUGGUAACAGUCGGCAAACUAUCUG